GUUCCCGAUGUUGCUUAGCAGUCAAUGAACCAGUCAGAAGAGCAACCUGGACAUGGGUUCCUUCAAAAAUUUUCGCUAAUUUCUCAGCAUGUUGUCCUGCCAGAAUUUCUGUCGGCGCCAUUAAAGCUGCUUGAUAGCCCGCAGUAAUAGCUGCAUAAAUGGCAAUAGCAGCAACAAUUGUCUUUCCAGAACCAACAUCCCCCUGCAACAAGCGAUUCAUCUGGUAUGGUUGACGCAUAUCACGACAAAUUUCAUUAACAACCCGUU
rnacentral:ncRNA from 1 species